CAUGACCAUUAGGGGAGCACUAGCAAACUAUAUAGAGAAACUAGUUCAAGUAAGAAGCAGUUCAUGUUGUUACCUUAUGCCAUGUUUCUCAAACUUUUUCAGGCUGAGGAUCACUUAACCCAUUUAACAAACAGUCACGGACCACCUAACCUGAAAUUGCCCCCACGAUAACACAUCUUUAUAUAUAAUGCAACCUGAAAUGAAAAUAUUAAUCUCUUAACUCACAUAUUGUUGUUUUCUUUGAUCAUCUUAAUGAGAAGAGUGGUGCUGUUUGGUAAAUGUGACUGGCCACAACAAAGCCAUGAACACGUCUACUUGGGCAUUUUGAGUUAUUCACUGAUUCUGAUAGUGUGGAGUCUAAGCUUUCCAAUGAUGUCAAACACACAGAAAUGAAAGAAAUUGUUCUUUACUACGAAGUGUUAUGUGCAUUAAUGACAUUUAGGGCUAUUUGUGAUUUAGAAGCACAAUUACAGAAAAAUAGACUUGAGUUGCCUUAACAGAAACAAAAAAUCCUUUUCAGCACCAUUAAGUAUAAAAGUAAUUAACCCAUUUCUAGCAAUUGUAUUUAAUUAAUUUAAUGUAAUGAUUUUUAAUUAAAUAAAAAUAACAAUAGCUGUAGAUGUGUAAUCAGAGCAUCAUAGGCAAGCAAAUUAAUAAAAAAAAAA